rnacentral:lncRNA from 1 species
UCGCGCAUCACCGUCGCGCAGCGUCGUGCACUCUUCCAUCCUUCAUUCUCGAGCUUUCUUGUUCUUUCGCACCGCGUUUCACAGGUCGUUAGAUACCACGGAUCUCUUGAGAAAAUUACAGAAACCCACGUGGCAAGAAAAGUGGAUAUUUGGAAAAGGUUGAGCAGCUGACAGUCAACUGUGUAUUCGAAAUAUACAACAUACGUUUUAGAAAAUGACACGUAAAAGAAAAAGUAACGACUGCUAUUCAGAUAGACAUAAACGUCGACUCGUUGAACAACAAACUAAAUUAAGUAUUAUUAGAAUGAAGCACGUUAAGCACGUAUAGUACGAAAUGUAAAGUCGUGAACCAAACGCUUUUUUUAAAAUAUACAUGAAAAUAAGUAUAGUUUUUUCUCGGUUUAAACUUAUUAUUAUAAUAUUAUAAUAAUUAAAUUAUUUUUAAAUCAAUAAUGCAUAUGAAAAUAUAGGUUAUAAUAAUUAAGCUGAUACAGGGCAGUCUUUUGCUAUACACCAUAUUUACUAGUAUAGUAGUAAUUAUACGUAGUAAC